rnacentral:tRNA from 1 species
CGCAGAGUAGAGAAACGGUAUCUCGGAUGGCUCAUAACCAUCAGGGAGUGGGUUCAACUCCCACCUCUGCAACCA